CCUACGGGAGGCAGCAGUGAGGAAUAUUGGUCAAUGGCCGCAGGGCUGAACCAGCCAAGUCGCGUGAGGGAUGACGGUCCUAUGGAUUGUAAACCUCUUUUGUCAGGGAGCAAAGGGCGCCACGUGUGGCGCUUUGCGAGUACCUGAAGAAAAAGCAUCGGCUAACUCCGUGCCAGCAGCCGCGGUAAUACGGAGGAUGCGAGCGUUAUCCGGAUUUAUUGGGUUUAAAGGGUGCGUAGGCGGGCUUUUAAGUCAGCGGUAAAAAUUCGGGGCUCAACCCCGUCCGGCCGUUGAAACUGUGGGCC
rnacentral:rRNA from 1 species